AGCAGCCGCGGUAAUUCCAGCUCCAAUAGCGUAUAUUAAAGUUGUUGCAGUUAAAAAGCUCGUAGUUGAAUUUCGGGACCAAUUUGUUGGUCGUGCCUCGGUACGUACUGGUAUUAUUGGUUUCUCCCUUCUGAAGAACCUCGAUGCCAUUAAUUUGGUGUCGUGGGGAAUCAGGACUGUUACUUUGAAAAAAUUGAGUAGUUUAAAGCAAGCAUACGCUUGAAUACAUUAGCAUGGAAUAAUGAAAUAGGACGUUUGAUUCUAUUUUGUUGGUUUCUAGGAUCGACGUAAUGAUUAAUAGGGAUAGUUGGGGGCAGUUAGUAUUCAAUU
rnacentral:rRNA from 1 species